GUGUGCAUCACCACCACAGAGCCAGGAACUUAUUAAUUACAAAUAGAAACCUUAACUUGCAAGGACUUCAUGCAGGACAAGCAGGAGCUUUACUGUCUAAACUGCAAACAAACUUAGCAAGGUGCGUUGUUCCUGUUCUGGUCUCCGGUUAACUGGCAAGGUAUGUUGUCCUGUUUUGAUCUCAAAUAUGUGGUCCCAGGGGUUGGCUUUCAAGCUUAGUGGCAUGUCUUUGUCCGCUGAGUUAUCUCACCUGAUGCUAACCCUUAAUGGGUGUGUGUGUGUGUGUGUGUGUGUCUGUGUCUGCCUGUGUGAGUUUUUGUGUGUUGUGUGCAUACGGUGACGAUGGGAGGCAGAAGUGAGUGUCAGAUCCCUGGAGCUAAUGUUAGAGCUGGGCGUGAGCUGCUCAAGAGGAACCAAAUCCAUGUGGUCUGUAAGAGCGCGUGCUCUUACUGAGCCAUCCUGAAUCCCGGAUGUUAGUGUUCCUAAGGAUGGUCUCAGAGCAGCCUGGGUCCUAGAGGAAGGCCUCUGGGGAUUGCCUGGCAACCUGUCUUAGAUAAAACAAUGGCCCCAGAGAGGAACCUGUGACUGUUGUUAGACCAGCUUCAACAAAACAUUCCAGGGUGGGGGUGUGAGGAUUAGAAAAGUUAGGCAGGAGGAACAGAGGUAAGAAACACAGAGGUGUAGGCUAGUACUGGGAGGGUUACUCAGUGCCUCCUGCACACUGAGUUCUUAGUCCGCCCGUGGUUAUUUUCCAUACACUUUCAUACCCCAAUACAAAAGGGGAGAGGGCCAAAGACGGCUUUAACAUGAUGCAAAGGACAACAAGAACAGUUACUGGUUUCAAUACUUUGAGACAUCCAGACAUUACUUCCCGAGUAAAGCAGAUGUUGCUUGGGGCAGUGAAAACACCCUAGACCAAGUAUCCUGCCGGCAGCCACUCCCUAGGUCAAACCUCCUUUUUCAAAAGAAGCAGAAGUGUGGGCGGACCUACCUGUACCUUAAUGUCAAAACCCUGUCUCGGGGUGUGUAGCCACACUUAACAACUUUGGGUAAGCUCCGACUCUCUGACCUUCAGACAAGGUUGAAUUGGCUCACAUUUUUUCUCAUUUUUCAGCCUCCACAGGAGAAGGCAAAAGGGACCUUCAGGUGGUGGGUGUUACCUGUACUGUCUGGAUGGAUCCUGUAUAAUCCCAUGCAAAUGAAUAUUCAAAUGAACAAAUCCACUUGAUUGGUACAGCUCAAUCUGCUCUAGCAAGAACAGAGGAUGCUGCCAGUGUGUAUGGCCUCCUCAGGAUUGGAUCCAUCUCCAACAGCCAGGGCUGCCUUGAUGCUCCUCUCCAGGUCGCUGGUACUCGUCUUGCUGGGUUUCGCUCCUGCGUCUGGGUGGACUUUCUUCAGCUGCACCCCCUGCCUGAUGGCCGCCAGAACUUGUUCAUUGACUGAGGUGCGAGG